rnacentral:rRNA from 1 species
GACGAACGCUGGCGGCGUGCUUAACACAUGCAAGUCGAACGGUGAACCUCUUCGGAGGGGAUCAGUGGCGAACGGGUGAGUAACACGUGGGCAACCUGCCCCCGGCUCUGGGAUAACUCCAAGAAAUUGGGGCUAAUACCGGAUGUUCACCGCUUCCCGCAUUGGAGGUGGUGGAAAGGGUUUCCGGCUGGGGAUGGGCCCGCGGCCUAUCAGCUUGUUGGUGGGGUAGUGGCCUACCAAGGCGACGACGGGUAGCCGGCCUGAGAGGGUGACCGGCCACACUGGGACUGAGACACGGCCCAGACUCCUACGGGAGGCAGCAGUGGGGAAUAUUGCGCAAUGGGCGGAAGCCUGACGCAGCGACGCCGCGUGGGGGAUGACGGCCUUCGGGUUGUAAACCUCUUUCAGCAGGGACGAAGCGCAAGUGACGGUAACUGCAGAAGAAGCACCGGCCAACUACGUG